GUUUAGAUGGAGAAGAAGGAGAGAGUUCAGGGGGUUAUGGGUUAAAUGGUUGGUUUUAUGUUUAAGGUGGGAUUGUUUCCAGGGGUUAGAGUGUGAAACGCAGGGGGUAGAUUGAGAAGAGAAGGGUAGAUCCGUGAGAGAGAAGGUAUUUCUAGGGGGUAGCUUGCAAGUUGUCUCAGUUUUGGUUUUGUUUGCUAAAGUAAAAAUGUUGCAAACUUUGAAAAUGCAUAGAAACUAGUAGAAAAAUGAUAAAAAUAUGAUUUUUGUUUCAUUGGAUUCCUUGUGAAGUCUAGUUUAUUUCAAAAAUGAUUUUUUUUGCAUGUUACUAUUUUAUAUUUGGUGCUAUAUUUUAUUUUGUGUAAAAGCCAUGAAAUGCUUUAUAAAUCACCUAGUGCUCUAAAAAUUGUGAAACCACUUUUGUUAACCUUUGUGUUACAUAUAGAGUAUAGGGAAAAUGAUGUGGUACAUUUAUGGUUGAUUUACAUGUCUUUUUAGAUUUAAGGUGCUAAAUGGUAGUUUAACUUGUUUAAUUCAAAUCUUCACAUUAAAAGUUGCUUUUGAUAUGGAUCCAACUCUCAUGAGUCUAUAUUGUUGUCUUCAGUCAGUACCAUUUAUUGCAUAGAUGUUUCUCAAUAAAUGUUUUAAUCAUGUCAUUCGUGCUUGCUUUUGACUUAUUGUGCAAAGUAGCUUUUCUCUUUGUGCUUGUGUGAGUUUGUAUUGUGUUUACCUAGAUUUUUCUGUUAACAAUUGAUUUCGUACUGUUUCUUUUAUUUUCCAUGCAUUUCAUGAGAAUUUGCAUUCAUAGCAUCCUCUCUAAUGCAUGCACGCAUUUCAUUCUGUUAGGGAGCUUUUUGCUGGAGAACAUGAC
rnacentral:lncRNA from 1 species